UCCCUGGUAGCUCAGUGUUAAAGAACCUGCCUGCCAAUGCAGGAAACACAGGUUUGAUCCCUGGUCUGGGAA
rnacentral:tRNA from 1 species